rnacentral:rRNA from 1 species
UACAGAGGUCUCAAGCGUUGUUCGGAAUCACUGGGCGUAAAGGGUGCGUAGGCGGCGCGGAAAGUCAGGGGUGAAAUCCCGGAGCUCAACUCCGGAACUGCCUUUGAUACUCCCGCGCUAGAGAGCUGGAGGGGACAUCGGAAUUCACGGUGGAGCAGUGAAAUGCGUGGAUAUCGUGAGGAACACUAGUGGCGAAGGCGGAUGUCUGGACAGUAUCUGACGUGAGGCACGAAGGCCAGGGGGAGCGAACGGGG